CAGUAGCCGCGGGAAUACGUAGGGUGCAAGCGUUAAUCGGAAUUACUGGGCGUAAAGCGUGCGCAGGCGGUUCUAUAAGACAGAUGUGAAAUCCCCGGGCUCAACCUGGGAACUGCAUUUGUGACUGUAGAGCUGGAGUGCGGCAGAGGGGGAUGGAAUUCCGCGUGUAGCAGUGAAAUGCGUAGAUAUGCGGAGGAGCACCGAUGGCGAAGGCAAUCCCCUGGGCCUGCACUGACGCUCAUGCACGAAAGCGUGGGGAGCAAACAGGAUUAGAGACCCCAGUAGUCCCUGUCUCUUAUAC
rnacentral:rRNA from 1 species